rnacentral:misc_RNA from 1 species
AAUUCUUUCCUCUUGAAUUCUAUGCCCUUUCUCCACCUUAGGCCAAAACCCCUUUCUUUCCAUGGAAUAGCAAUGGUCAUGAGCCCCUUAUCAAUGAGCAAAGUCAAAUUCUCAACAAUUGGUAAAGUUUCUCUCUGCAAUGGGCCACAACAUUACUUUAUGAGCUGAAAUUCAAAUAACAUUUUCCAUCAUUCUCCUAUUUAUAUUAUUAAUUCCUCCAUACUAAUUUGAUUAGGAGUUCCACUCAAUUUAGGGAUAAAGCUAAAAUAAGAGUUCUACUCUAUAUAGAAAAAGGUCUCUCUCCAAAUUUCACUAGGAUUUUGAUUCAUAAUUCUAACCAUCUCUACCUUGACUCAAAAUCUAUCAACCAUUGCAUGUCUCAAAUUCUUGAGUGUCAUCAAAUCAUUAAAUCUCCAUACUUGAGCUUCAAUCUUUCAAAUCUCCAUUCUUCAAUUUUCAUCUUGGGUGUAUCUUACUUUCUUUCUACCUGUCGCAACAGCUCCACCUUCAAUUAAACUCAUCAAGAUCUGAUACUAAUUUGUUGUGCGCUGCAAAAAUGUGUAAACUACAAAGAAAUAAAGUAAUCAUAGUAUGCUAUCCACGGUUUCCAUUAUCAAUAAUAAUAAAUCAUCAAUUACAAGCUCAAAACUAUGCUAUCCAUAAAUUCAGUUACACCCAAAUUACUCAUAGUAUGUAUAUUAGUUAGUCACUUAUAGUCUAUUCAUAGUAAAUAUAUUAAUUAGUCCCUCUUAGUCUCCUCUAGACAUAACCCAAUAU